AAACAACGAGGCGUCCAGAGUUCAAACGUAGCCCUGAGCCGCCGGGGCCUCUGCCCUUGGCCGGGGCCGGAGCCCAGCCAGCAGCUCGGCGGGGAGCCGAGCCCGGGCCGGGCCCACGCUGCGGGCCCUACCUGCGAGGGGCAGGAGCGGGACCGAGGGGCGCUGCGGCUCCCCGGGGCUCCCCCCGACGGCGGCGGCGGCCCCUCGCCCACCCUCCUUCCCUCUCUGCCUGCCUCCCGCACCUGCGGGCCGAGCCCCGCGGGAGGAGGACGAGCUCUUUCCUUCCCCCUCCGCCCCGUCGGCUCCUAAAAUGUCUUUAUUUUUGCACGCCGGAACCCUUCCGCUCCCCACCCCCAGCAGGCAGCCAGGGUUUUAAGGACAGCACCGGGUACCAGAAGAGGCGUCCUCGCAGCGUGGGGCAGGGUUCAGACCUCAGAGAUCCCGACAUCGUGUCCUGGAUUGUCAGAUUAAGAUAUCCAGUGCCAUCUCCUACCUGAAUCUUUUUUCCUAAUAAUUUCAUGAGGCUGCUGAUGUGUACCCACCUGGACACUCUGGAGCAAAAGAGGAGGAGCUUGACGUGGAACUGGAGAAACCCUGUAGCCCACACCUGGGCAUUCCUCAACUCUCCCUUCCUUAUGUGGGAUCUCCCAGGCAGGAAAACUGCCCCCACAAGUGGCAUGCUCAAAACCCUACUCAGCCAGCGACAAAAUUGUAUUUGUGCUAGCUACUGCUUUCUGAUUCAGCUAAUGCUUUCCUUUGCUUGUAUGGAUGAAUAAUUUUAUCAUAGUGGAACAGCUUCUGCAGUUGAUACACCUAUUCCAUACCACUGCAUUUGAAGUCAGCUGGGAGGAAAUGGAUGCUUCAAAUUCCCAGAAGUCAAGAGGGAAAUCAGCUCUGCAUCAGGUGUUUCAUGGGUUGGUGUGCAAAACUCUGGGCCAUUACAUAAACAGGUGAUGCUUCUUCCCACUGCAUUUAUAAGCUCCUAGCAGCUGGCAGUGAGCUGGAACUGGGAAUGCUGGAUGGGAAAUGGCACCUCUGUCUUCUAGAAAAGGAUUAUGUAUUGUUUAGGAAUGGCUUAACCUUUACCCUUCUUCUUGGCACCUCCAGCAGCUUCAGAGGCACUUUUCUUAUUUGCUUUUGUGAAUCAUAUCCUGAGGUACCUUGCUUUCCCUGCCCAUUGCACUGGAAAUUUGAGUGUCUAAGUUUUGGAUUACCUAGUGGGGAGAAGUGCCUCAAAGUCAUAACAUGCAGCUCUCAAUAUCACAGUAUUUAUGUCCUUCUAUGGGCCAGCUUUUCUUCCCUAACUCCGUGGGAACUGGGCUCCUAACUUCCAUGUGGACCCAUGAAAAUUGCUGAAAUGCCAUUAAGGUACUUCUUCCCUUAGUGGCAUGGAGGAAAGGUCAGUGAGUGAUACCAUGUGGACCCAUGAAAAUUGCUGAAAUGCCAUUAAGGUACUUCCUCCCUUAGUGGCAUGGAGGAAAGGUCAGUGGGUGAUAGGUAUGCUGCAGACUCACAGAAUCACUGGGAUUGGAAGACACCUCUGGAGAUCAUCUACCCCACUCAGAGCAGGGUCAACUGGAAUAGGCUGCUGUGCCACAGUAGCCACAACUGUGUCCAGUAGGGUUUUAAAUAUCUCCAGGGGUGGAGACUCCACAACUUCUCUGGGCAACCUGUGCCAGUUUAACCACUUUCAUGGUAAAAGAAAGGGGUUUUGUUUGUUUAGAAUAUCUGCUUAUCUGGAACACCACACAGUGUGAGCAGGAGAGGUCCUGCCACAUGCUGGGAACAAUCUUUCAUCUGUAGGAGGAUGAGAUACAGUGAUUCAACAUUUUUGGCAAGUAGAGCCAUAGCUGAUGUGCUCUGUGGUGAAAGUUGAGAGCCAGCAUUAGUGGGAAACAGGACAGAGAGUAUAAAAGAGAAACGGGCCGGGUGGAUUGAGAAGCAUCAUCUCCCAUUUCAGUCCUCCAUAUGCUGGACUGCACCACCUGAGUACCCAGCACAUUCAUUUUACUCCAGGAAGAAAAAAAUAGCCACAUUUCCUCCUGCUCCUUAGUUGUUGUUUGCUCUCUGGUUAGCAGAGUCCUAGCAUCCAUCCUGUGCAGUUUAUUUCCAUAGACCCCUCUCCAGCACACUGUGAGAAAUGCAGUCUUCCAGACCUCAGCUCAGCUUUGGUGCCACAGGUCCCAUGCUCUUACUAUUUCUGUAGGUGCUAGCACAUUACUGAGCUAGAGCAAAUGCUGGAGUAAAAGGGAAUAAAAUGUUCAGAUUUGUACAGUUCAUUCAGCUUUUUUAUCUCGAAUACAGCCUUAUUUAUAUUGACAGGGAUUAUAUCUAGAUUUCUGUAGCUAUUCUUUUGGAUUCACUCGGCAGAAAGAAUGCAAUGGAAUAUUAAGCUGUUUCUGUAUGUAAAUCAUCUCUCAGAAAUACAGGUUUGAGCCUCCCCAGUUCAGAUUUAGGUGUGUAUCAUACUCUGAUUUCCCUUUGUGACAGCAGAUAGGAAGGAACAGUAUUUUGAGCUUUGAUUUUGUUACUUACUUUUAUAGUAGCAUUUAUAGCAUUAUAAUAUUUGUGUCUGAUGUGCAAACUAGGCUAUUGCCCUAAAUGGAUUACUUGCUAAAACCCACUUUCUUACAGGUGCUGCCAAGAAACAGAUAGACAAGUCUUCAGAUUCACCAUCAGAGACAAAGUCUACUAUUAGAGGCAUGAGGUUACUGAAAACAAAUCAUCCUGGUCCCUUCACCAGUUCAACCAUCAGUCUUGGCGAAAAUUGACCACCUAAUGCAAUCAUUGGGCAGGAGGCCACUAUGGGUAGUUUAAGAUCUGGAGAUUCACAUGAUGAGAAGGUGAAAGAGGCUGAGACAAAAUUGGAGUUGAUGACCAUAUAGUGCUGCAGAAGGAGGUGGAUCUGUGCAACACUGGAAAAGGCCACACGGGGGACAACGCCACAAGGUAGCUGAUACUCUACAGAAAGCGGUGCAAUACAGAUUGAUUGCUACCGCUCAUCAAAAAGAUACAUUUCUGAAAGAGCCUAGACAAAAGUCUAUAUACCGGUGUAAUUAAUUCAUUACACUUUAGUUUUGCUGUAUGAGGGCUGAAUUAGGUCCUCCGUAAUAAUUUCAGGUGAAAUAAAUAUCUAGAGAGUUAGCCCACAUACACAGAAGAAGGUAAAAAAUACCUGUGUGAGUAAAGAAGUCCAACCCAACAAAGGGAAAAUUAUUCUCCAAUGCAUCCUUUUUACAUGAUUUCACAUGAAUGUGUGAAAUAACAUCUGACCUUGUCGGUUUCUGAGAAGUCACAGGUCUCUGCAGUUUCUCUUAGACUAAAAAAAUAGGUACAGCUGCUGAUCUGAGAGCCUCUGCAAGAUAAGGGACUACUGGAAAAGAUGGUGAGCACAACACUGUGCAUACACAGAUACAACAAGAAAUGUGGCAGAGUAGUACCAUGUAUUUCUGGCACCAGACAAUUUAAUUAUUAUUAUUUCUGUUUUAUUUUACUUUUUGGAAGAGCAGACACAGCCAUAGGCUAAUAAGGUAUGUUUUAGGUGUGAAUCCUAAUCAUGAUGAUUUUAUUUAAAUGGGCUUUGUCAAUGAUAAGUUAAAUCAAGAGUAAAAACAGCAUGGGGUUUUAUUAGACUCGGUGCAUUAUGCAGGAAAACAUGCAGGAUUCCAUCAGCAGCCUGCUGAUGCAGGUGAACUGCUGAACUGAUGGAUUCUCCCCAACAGCUUUAUUAGCACCUGAACAUUUCAGCUUCCUGUGGAGGUGAAUUAAUGCACAAAACUUCUUCUGGCCUGAAAGAAGCUGUGGGCUGUUCCAUCUUUUUCUGUCAGUCCACCUGGUGUCUUCGGGACCAUUUUUCUUCCUUUCUUUGCAGUAUGUGCGGCUGGGGUUCCAAAACAAAGUCCUCUGACUCAGUUUAAGAGGUUCCCUUUUCCAGUGUCACCCUUUUCCUCACAUUCCCCCAAUCUCAUACCAGUGCCUUCUUAGAUGCAGACACCCAGCUGUCUGUGCAGCUGCCAGUAAUAACCAGUCCCAUGCUGAACAAGGGAGAGUAGGAACAGAUGCUAACAAUUUGUUGCUCAGAGGUAGGAGGGAUCUGUUGGGGUCAGGUAAGGACAGAAAGCUCUUGAACUGGCUUGCUGUCAGAGCAGUAGUGCCAUAGAGGUGCACCUUCAGAAAAAAUCAACUAUGAAACAACAAUGUGCAUCUUAUUUUCCCUUUUAAUCUGAUUUUAUGUCUGCUAAAACCAAAAUAAAUCACCUAAACAACA